UCCUAGAGCCUCAAAGCAUCAUUAUUCAAGAUCACGAUCAAGGUCAAGAGAAAGAAAACGAAAAUCGGAUAAAGAAGGAAGAAAACACAGGAGCCGGAGCAGAAGCAAAGAGGCAAGAAGACAUGAAUCCAAAGAUAAAUCCUCUAAGAAACACAAGUCUGAGGAACAUAAUGACAAAGAACAUUCUUCUGAUAAAGGAAGAGAGCGACUAAAUUCAUCUGAAAAUGGUGAGGACAGACACUAACGUAAAGAAAGAAAGUCAUCAAGAGGCAGAAGUCACUCAAGAUCUAGGUCUCGUGAAAAACGCCAUCGUAGUAGAAGCAGGGAGAGGAAGAAGUCGCGAUCCAGAAGCAGGGAAAGAAAACGGCGGAUCAGGUCUCGUUCCCGCUCAAGAUCAAGACACAGGCAUAGGACUAGAAGCAGGAGUAGGACAAGGAGCAGAAGUCGAGAUAGAAAAAAGAGAAUUGAAAAACCAAGAAGAUUUAGCAGAAGUUCAAGCCGGACUCCUAGUCCACCUCCCUUCAGAAGCAGAAACACAGCAAUGGAUGCACAAGAAGCUUUAGCUAGGAGGUUGCAAAGGGCAAAGAAAUUACAAGAACAAUGAGAGAAGGAAAUGGUUGAAAAACAAAAACAAGAAAUAGCUGCAGCAGCUGCAGCUACUGGAGGUUCUGUUCUGAAUGUUGCUGCCCUGUUGGCAUCAGGGACACAAGUAACACCUCAGAUAGCUAUGGCAGCUCAAAUAGCAGCCCUACAAGCUAAAGCUUUAGCAGAGACCGGAAUAGCUGUACCUAGCUAUUAUAACCCAGCAGCUGUGAAUCCAGUGAAAUUUGCUGAGCAAGAGAAAAAAAGGAAAAUGCUUUGGCAAGGCAAGAAAGAAGGAGACAAAUCCCAAUCUGCUGAAAUAUGGGAAAAAUUGAAUUUUGGAAACAAGGACCAAAACGUGAAAUUUAGGAAAUUAAUGGGUAUUAAGAGUGAAGAUGAAGCUGGAUGUAGCUCAGUUGAUGAAGAGAGCUACAAGACUUUGAAACAACAGGAAGAAGUAUUCAGAAAUCUAGAUGCUCAGUAUGAAAUGGCAAGAUCACAAACCCAUACACAAAGAGGAAUGGGUUUGGGUUUCACAUCUUCAAUGCGAGGAAUGGAUACAGUUUGAAAAAGUUCACACAUGUAAAGUUUGGGACUUUAUAGACUUCCUCCUCUGAUGUCAAGUCCUUGUUCACCAAACAGCUAGCAUUCUAGUUUGCAUGGGUGUUGUAUUGACUUUAAUUUAUUGAAAAAUACGAUUUUUUGUAAAUAUCAGAUCAGUGAUACUGGUGUUAGUGUUGUAAUCAGGUUAAACCCACUUCCAUUAAACUUGACAGGCCUAUAGAAGGACAAUAUUUUUUAGUUCAUAAAUUCUACUUUUCAAAUAUCUAAAAGCUGCAGGUGGGAUAAAAUCUCAUACAUGAAUUUUUUCGUGUCCGCUGUCUUGUGUACUUUUGUACUUAACCUUGUACAGUUAUUUUCAUCUUUUGAACAUGAAAGAAAUGUUAUGUAGAUGUUCUUUAGAAGAUCUGGCCAUUUGGUUACAUAAUCCAGCACAAAUAAGCUGGGUGGUGAUGAUAAUAAAAAUGGUUUUCUCAAAAAAAAAAAAAAAA